AUUGAACGCUGGCGGCAUGCCUUACACAUGCAAGUCGAACGGCAGCGCGGGAGCAAUCCUGGCGGCGAGUGGCGAACGGGUGAGUAAUAUAUCGGAACGUGCCCAGUAGUGGGGGAUAACUGCUCGAAAGUUACGCUAAUACCGCAUAUUCUGUGCGCAGGAAAGCAGGGGAUCGCAAGACCUUGCGCUGAUUGAGCGGCCGAUAUCAGAUUAGCUAGUUGGUGAGGUAAAGGCUCACCAAGGCGACGAUCUGUAGCGGGUCUGAGAGGAUGAUCCGCCACACUGGAACUGAGACACGGUCCAGACUCCUACGGGAGGCAGCAGUGGGGAAUUUUUGGACAAUGGGGGCAACCCUGAUCCAGCCAUG
rnacentral:rRNA from 1 species